AUGUGCACUUGGAAAGGAAUCCAGA
rnacentral:piRNA from 1 species